rnacentral:rRNA from 1 species
CUUUCUUUGCUGGCGACCGGCGCACGGGUGAGUAACACGUAUCCAACCUGCCUUUACUCGGGGAUAGCUUUCGAAAGAAAGAUUAAUACCCGAUAGCAUAAUGAUUCCGCAUGGUUUCAUUAUUAAAGGAUUCCGGUAAAGGAUGGGGAUGCGUUCCAUUAGGUUGUUGGUGAGGUAACGGCUCACCAAGCCUUCGAUGGAUAGGGGUUCUGAGAGGAAGGUCCCCCACAUUGGAACUGAGACACGGUCCAA